UUCGUUGUGUCUCUGAAAAGCAAUGGAUAGAGCGUUGGACUUCUAAUCCAAAGUUCAUGGGUUCGAAUCCCACCUAAGAAG